rnacentral:ribozyme from 1 species
CAAACAAACAUACACCGAAAACAAAACAAACAAACAGAAAACAAAGAUAAUAAAAAACAUUCAGAACUAUUGUGCGUUUUUCCAACGUGCUUUUUGAAGGCCUCUUAUGUGACGGAAAUGCACCCGACUUUUUUUUUUUUUUUUUGGUUCGCUUGUUUGUUCUCUUAAG